rnacentral:rRNA from 1 species
UAGUGUGAAUUUGCAGAAUUCCGCGAAUCAUCGAGUUUUUGAACGCAAGUUGCGCCCGAGGCUUGUCUGAGGGCAUGCCUGCCUGAGCGUCCGC